ACAAGUAUUAAACCAAAAUUCUGCAUUUGCACAAGACACUCACCGAGGAGACCGGAGAAGCUAAACCACAACAACACUGACCUGCUUCAGCAUGUGAUGCAAAGGCAAAUAUUAGGUUUGUAAAUGACCUGACUAAGCCAUUUUUAGAGGAAGCCACAUAACUUCCUUUAAAAA
rnacentral:lncRNA from 1 species